rnacentral:rRNA from 1 species
UACGGGGGGGGCAAGCGUUGUUCGGAAUUACUGGGCGUAAAGGGCUCGUAGGUGGCCAACUAAGUCAUACGUGAAAUCCCUCAGCUUAACCUGGGAACUGCGUCUGAUACUGGACGGCUUGAGUAUGGGAGAGGGAUGUAGAAUUCCAGGUGUAGCGGUGAAAUGCGUAGAUAUCUGGAGGAAUACCGGUGGCGAAGGCGGCAUCCUGGACCAUUACUGACGCUGAGGCGCGAAAGCUAGGGGAGCAAACGGG